GGUCCCCCUUGCACCGAACCCAUCCUCACAUGCGCCAUCUCCUUCACUGACGCCGCCUUGCAUCUCUCCGCUGAACCCGAGCUCUUCACCUUCCCCAACCUGACGGUGCUUCCUCUUCUCCCUCACGAUAAAACCUGUCGGCCAAGGAGAAGUCGGGCAUUGCUAUUCCCGAUUCCCUUCUCUCCCGAUUCGUCUCCAUCUUCCUUGCGUCUUCCUCGCCACCGACAGCCACAGCUCGAGCGAGAGUGCCCUAGGUGUCACCCACUCCCAUCGCAUCGCUUCCCUGCUGCACGGAGUAGCGCCGACGCCCCUACAGCCGACUCCUCUCUUCUUAUCAACUCCGCUCAUGCCUUUCCUCUUACGCCAACACUGCUGUUUUGGUCGCUCUUCUCUCGCGUGAUUUUCCUGGUGUUGCCACAACUGUUCGCUUGAGGAACAAAUUGGAGCAGUGGUUGAAGGCUCAUCAGUGGCAAAACCCUAUCCGACGAUCCACCAUCAAUCUCUCACGGCUUCCCCGGUCUGUCCCUCACCGAGAGAUCUGUCCCGGGGCACCGAAGAUCCUGGGCAUUGGGUACUGUCAUCAUUGUCACAAGCGUUGAGCCUCUAAGGAGCACUGAUAACUGGGGUAUCCAAAUACUAGCUGCCACAUUUGAGAGGGCAGUAGCUUCAUCGUUGCUCCGACUAAGGUUUCCAGCAGCAACUUCUCUAGCUAUGCUACAAAAAAAGGCGGAAUCCGCCGCCCCGACGGCCCCCUACGCCUGCCCCAUGGUGAUGUAGGAGGAGGGUUAAUCAGGGUGAAUGCUGGGCUGACAAGUGGCUGGGGGUUCGAGGCUUUAAGCCAGCAGACGGGGAUAUUAUCCCGCAUUGCAACCGGCGACACUCGAAUGUGAAGAGCUCAAUUUUGUUGAAUUGGGGUAGGAGAAUAGGUAUACUCUGACAGUAUCCUGUCCACUCAGUCAUUCAGGAGUAGUGAUGGCAGAGUGCACAGUUGUCACAACCCUACCCACUCGACCUCACCAUCGUAUGUGAGGUGGCUGACUCGCAUCAAAGGAAAAAUAUGUUGAGUUAGAGGCAGCACAGAGAUGUUCAGCUUCUUCUAGUGCUGAUAUUGAGGGGUCUGAGCUGUUUGUAGGUACUGAUUUUUAUUUAUGGCUACAUGCGAGUGGAGGGCCAGAAAGGGGAGGAAAGAUAUUCGGAAUGAGUUCUUUGGGCAGAACCCAUAGAGUUGGCCAUAUAACUUCUUCCUCCUCACAUACUCAGCAGAUACAUAUAACUUGACUGAAGAGAUUUCCCAGUUGAAGGGAAUUAUAAAGGAAAGGGAUUAAGAAAUGAGCGAAAUACGCUGACAACAAGACUUUAUUAUGCAGCAUCUUCAGUUAAUUUCUGUUCCAAGUCAAAUUCCUCCUCGUGACAAUGAUGAUGAUGAUGAUAUUGAUGAGAUGAUAAUGGCGGUGGUGGUGAUUCUUCGUAAAUUUAUGCGUAGAAAAGAAGCAUGGAAGGCGACCGAAGCUCCUGAGACAUGACGAUUUGUAUUUUGUUUAGCUUUGGAUGCCUUGUUACAUUUGUUGUUUGGAUUAUGAUAGAACUUUCAUGUUUAGAUAUUAUGAUUUGUUGAACUUGUUGUUGUUUGAAUUUUAGUUAUUUGUAUAUAUGAAUAUGAUGUGUUUAGUUUAGGGAUGAUUUGUUUGGAUGUUGGAUAUGGAUGUGUUUAGUUUUGGGAUGAUUUGUUUGGAUGUUGGAUAUGGAUAUGUUGUAUAUGAUUUUGUUGAAGAUGUUAUAAGUGGCAUAUUUAA